ensembl:misc_RNA Metazoa_SRP Metazoan signal recognition particle RNA
GCCGGGUGUGGUGGCGCCUGCCUGUAAUCCCAGCUACUCAGGAGGCUGAGGCAGGAGAAUUGCUUGAACUCGGGAGGUGGAGGUUGCAGUGAGCCGAGAUCGCACCACUGCACUCCAGCCUGGGUGACAGAGUGAGACUUUGUCUCAU